AUGUCUGAGAGGCUUAAUGACGAGGAAACCAUGGAAACGACUCACGCCAGCGGAGAGGACCGCCUCGAGGCCCUCCCAAAUGAUCUUCUCGGCUAUCUUAUGUCGUUCCUACCUUCACACGACUCUGUGCAGACAUGCGUUCUCGGUAAGCGUUGGAGCAUGCUCUGGAAGUCUGUGCCCGCCCUACGCAUCAAUGACCCCGAUAGCUACGACGACGUCAGUGGCUCCAACACAUUUGUGAACGAGUUUCUUCUCCUUCGCGACCCAACUCCUCUAAAUGUAUGUGACAUCAGUUCGGAUUGUGUGGAGACUGCGGCUGAUUACCCCGAAUGGGCCGAUGAGGCAUUCCAACAAAUGAAGCCGUGGCUCUGGGAUGCUCUAUCGUGUCAAGUUCAAGUGCUUAAAAUUUGUUUUCCCUGGCGGGUAAUCGAAACUACUAUCAUCUCGUCACACUUGAAGAGGUUACAUCUUGAUGGCAUGCACUUUGAGGGAUGCUCCCUCGAUUUUUCGAGUUAUAAGGUGCUAGAAGUGUUAGAGAUGAUAAGUUGUGACAUCUAUGUGAAUAUCCUAUCCCAAACAUUACGACAUCUUAAAAUUAAUGGUGGGGGUUUUUGUAUUGAUGACCGCAUUCGUAUUUCCACCCCAAAUCUCAUUGGCUUCAUACUAGCUCCACUUUGGGGUUGGGCUCCUUUGCUAUAUAGCAAGUCAUUACUUGUAACAACAUCUGUAAAGCUUGGAGAAGGGUGUGAGGGGAACUGUGUUACUGUGGUAAUCCAUCAUGUGAAGGAUGUGAUGCUCAACCUGGUGGAACCAACUAUCCUGUGGCUCUGGAAAGUUUGUCGGGCACAACAAAUUUUAAGUUGA
rnacentral:rRNA from 1 species